UACGUAGGGGGCAAGCGUUGUCCGGAAUUAUUGGGCGUAAAGAGCGUGUAGGCGGCCAGAUAAGUCCGCUGUGAAAUCUCGAGGCUCAACUUCGAGCUGUCGGUGGAAACUAUCUGGCUAGAGUCCGGAAGAGGAGAAUGGAAUUCCUGGUGUAGCGGUGAAAUGCGCAGAUAUCAGGAAGAACACCCGUGGCGAAGGCGGUUCUCUGGGACGGUACUGACGCUGAGACGCGAAAGCGUGGGGAGCGAACCGG
rnacentral:rRNA from 1 species